rnacentral:rRNA from 1 species
AGUGAACGCUGGCGGUAGGCCUAACACAUGCAAGUCGAACGGCAGCACAGGAGAGCUUGCUCUCUGGGUGGCGAGUGGCGGACGGGUGAGGAAUACAUCGGAAUCUGCCCAGUCGUGGGGGAUAACGUAGGGAAACUUACGCUAAUACCGCAUACGACCUUCGGGUGAAAGAGGGGGAUCGCAAGACCCCUCGCGAUUGGAUGAGCCGAUGUCGGAUUAGCUAGUUGGCGGGGUAAUGGCCCACCAAGGCGACGAUCCGUAGCUGGUCUGAGAGGAUGAUCAGCCACACUGGAACUGAGACACGGUCCAGACUCCUACGGGAGGCAGCAGUGGGGAAUAUUGGACAAUGGGCGCAAGCCUGAUCCAGCCAUACCGCGUGGGUGAAGAAGGCCUUCGGGUUGUAAAGCCCUUUUGUUGGGAAAGAAAUCUUUCAGGCUAAUACCCUGGGAGGAUGACGGUACCCAAAGAAUAAGCACCGGCUAACUUCGUG